rnacentral:rRNA from 1 species
AUUGAACGCUGGCGGCAUGCUUUACACAUGCAAGUCGAACGGUAACAGGGUGCUUGCACCGCUGACGAGUGGCGAACGGGUGAGUAAUGCGUCGGAACGUGCCGAGUAGUGGGGGAUAACGCAGCGAAAGUUGUGCUAAUACCGCAUACGUACUGAGGUAGAAAGUGGGGGACCUUCGGGCCUCACGCUAUUCGAGCGGCCGACGUCUGAUUAGCUAGUGGGUGAGGUAAAGGCUCACCUAGGCGACGAUCAGUAGCGGGUCUGAGAGGAUGAUCCGCCACACUGGGACUGAGACACGGCCCAGACUCCUACGGGAGGCAGCAGUGGGGAAUUUUGGACAAUGGGCGCAAGCCUGAUCCAGCAAUGCCGCGUGCAGGAAGAAGGCCUUCGGGUUGUAAACUGCUUUUGUACGGAGCGAAAAGGCUCCCUCUAAUACAGAGGGCUCAUGACGGUACCGUAAGAAUAAGCACCGGCUAACUACGUGCCAGCAGCCGCAGUAAGAC